AUUAAACGAGAGUUUGAUCCUGGCUCAGGACGAACGCUGGCGGCGUGCCUAACACAUGCAAGUCGAGCGAUGAAGUUCUUCGGAAUGGAUUAGCGGCGGACGGGUGAGUAACGCGUGAGCAAUCUGCCUUACACAAAGGGAUAGCCUCGGGAAACUGGGAUUAAUACCAUAUGAUACUUAAUUACUGCAUGGUAGUUAAGUCAAAGAUUUAUCGGUGUAAGA
rnacentral:rRNA from 1 species